UAAAUUUAAUUAUACACCACAUGCAGACAAAGUCUGGAAAGGUAACAAAUUGAGCCUUCAUUGCGGACCCUCUCGGGAAGAUAACGAACAUUUUAUUUUGUAUUUGAUAUUGGAAUGCAUAUUUCCAGCUUAUUCACCUGGCAUAUUGACUUCAUUCAAAACAUGUUUAAAGGUCAAGUGUAAUAAAAAUAGAUUUGAAAAUAAAGUUUAUAAUUCAUUAAAACCCGUUUUGAAAAGUUUAUUGAUGUGUUUAUUUAUUUAUUUUAAAUCCAGGUAAAUGCGCAAAAUACCUAUUCCAAAAUCGUUGUUUAUAGAAACGAAUGAAGGGAUUGUCACCCUUUCUUAUGACGUCAUCUGAGACAAUUGUAGUUGUUUACGCCUGUAUAUCAUCGUUUUAAUUUCUGUGAGAAAUUGCCAGUUUUAGCAACACCGUGGAUAGUGACGAUGAAAUACCGUAGAUACACUUGAGUUUAGGGAUUCAACCUUUAUAAUGAUGUCCAGUUAAUCAUCACUUUGCACUUUGUUUGGAGUCAAACAGGAUGAUGGAAACCUGAUCCUCGUUAAUUAAAGUGUCACUCACUGAU